rnacentral:lncRNA from 1 species
AAAAGUCGUCGGCUAAGGUCAAAAAAUUUCAAAAUUUUUUAGGCGGUAAACCAAAGUUGGAGGAAAAUUUUCAAAGGACUUUAGCCGACGAAAAUAUAUGAAAAGUCGUCGGCUAAAGUCGAAAAAUUUUCAAAAUUUUCAAAAUUUUCAACCAAAAUUUUUUGGCGGUCAACCAAAAUUUUCAAAAGAGUUUAGCCGACGAAAAUAAAGAAUUUCGUCGGCUAAAGUUCUUUAUAUAGGCGAAGAUGGAUGGUAAGAAGUCUAUUAUCUGCCAGAUUUUCUUUUCGGCCUAGCUCCGCCGUCAAGCCACCAGAGAUCGUCACACUAGUCCCAAAAGCUUCGCCGUCGUCUCUACUUCUUUGCUGGAUAGGUGGUGCAUCGAGUGGCGCCGCCAUGAGGGAUAAAUCGAGCUCCAAAACUCCGCCGGUUCGGAUUCGGUGUCGAUCAAAUUUCUCCUUCCUUAGGUCACCAUUUGGUGAGUUCUAUAUAUGGAUAAGUUGAGUUUGAUUAGUACUACAUUCCCCUAGAAUUUGGUAGCUCGAUUCGGUGUGUGUGAAGAGAAUCGAAGAUUUGAAGUUUUUAGGGUUUAAAAUUGGGGAUUUUUAUAUUUUGAGUCGAUUGACCUGUUUAGGCUUAGAAUUGAGCUUCGAUUUCUUCUAGAAAGUUGUUCGAAAUGUUGAGAGGAAGAUUCUGUCAAAUUUUGGUCGUGAUUGGAGGUGGCCGAAAGUUUCUGCAGUUUUUUUUUUCAAAACCCAGCAACUUUAGCCGACGAUAUUUAAACACUAUAUUCGUCGGCUAUAGUAUUUUUUAAUUUUUUUUAUAAGGUUUAGCCGACGAAAUAUAGUCUAUAGUUAUUUUUUUAAAUUUUUUAUAAGGUUUAGCCGACGAAUUAUGGCAUGUUUCGUCGGCUAUAGUUAUUUUUUUAAUUUUUUUAUAAGGUUUAGCCGACGAAAUAUAGUAAAUUUCGUCGGCAAUAGUUAUUUUUUUAAAUUUUUAUAAGGUGUAGCCGACGAAAUAUACUAUAUUUCGUCGGCUAUAGUUAUUUUUUAAUUAUUUAUUACACACUUUAGCCGACGAAUAUAUUAAUUGUUUCGUCGGCUAAAGUCUGGGAAAAAAACCGACGACAUGUUUUUCGUCGGCUAACUGUGGGACUAUAGCCGACGAAAAAAAAAAAUUUCGUCGGCUAAAGUCAUCACCGACGACCUUUUCCCGACGACACUAUAGCCGACGAGCCUUCUUAGCCGACGAAUUAAGAUAACAGGCCGACGAAAAUUUUUCGUCGGCUAAAGUGCUUGUCCUGGUAGUGU